UACGUAGGGGGCAAGCGUUGUCCGGAUUUACUGGGCGUAAAGAGCGCGCAGGCGGUCGUACAAGUCGCGUGUGAAAGCCCCCGGCUCAACUGGGGAGGGUCACGCGAUACUGUUCGACUCGAAGGCAGGAGAGGGAAGUGGAAUUCCCGGUGUAGUGGUGAAAUGCGUAGAUAUCGGGAGGAACACCAGUGGCGAAGGCGACUUCCUGGCCUGUUCUUGACGCUGAGGCGCGAAAGCUAGGGGAGCAAACAGG
rnacentral:rRNA from 1 species